AUUGAACGCUGGCGGCAGGCCUAACACAUGCAAGUCGAGCGGAUGAAGAGAGCUUGCUUUCUGAUUCAGCGGCGGACGGGUGAGUAAUGCCUAGGAAUCUGCCUGGUAGUGGGGGACAACGUUUCGAAAGGAACGCUAAUACCGCAUACGUCCUACGGGAGAAAGUGGGGGAUCUUCGGACCUCACGCUAUCAGAUGAGCCUAGGUACGAUUAGCUAGUUGGUGAGGUAAAGGCUCACCAAGGCGACGAUCGUUAACUGGUCUGAGAGGAUGAUCAGUCACACUGGAACUGAGACACGGUCCAGACUCCUACGGGAGGCAGCAGUGGGGAAUAUUGGACAAUGGGCGAAAGCCUGAUCCAGCCAUGCCGCGUGUGUGAAGAAGGUCCUCGGAUUGUAAAGCACUUUAAGUUGGGAGGAAGGGCAGUAAGUUAAUACCUUGCUGUUUUGACGUUACCGACAGAAUAAGCACCGGCUAACUUCGUGCCAGCCGCCGCCGUAAUAC
rnacentral:rRNA from 1 species